UGGUGGAUUUGGCAACAUUGGGAUGGGA
rnacentral:piRNA from 1 species